rnacentral:rRNA from 1 species
UACGUAGGGGGCAAGCGUUGUCCGGAAUCAUUGGGCGUAAAGCGCGUGUAGGCGGCCCGGUAAGUCCGCUGUGAAAGUCGGGGGGCUCAACCCUCGAAUGCCGGUGGAUACUGUCGGGCUAGAGUGCGGGAGAGGCGAGUGGAAUUCCUGGUGUAGCGGUGAAAUGCGCAGAUAUCAGGAGGAACACCAAUUGCGAAGGCAGCUCGCUGGAACGUAACUGACGCUGGAGACGCGGAAAGCGUGGGGAGCAAACAGGAUUAGAU